rnacentral:rRNA from 1 species
UCAUAUCGACGGCGGUGUUUGGCACCUCGAUGUCGGCUCAUCUCAUCCUAGGGCUGAAGCAGGUCCUAAGGGUAUGGCUGUUCGCCAUUUAAAGAGGUACGCGAGCUGGGUUUAGAACGUCGUGAGACAGUUCGGUCCCUAUCUACCGUGGGCGUUGGAAAUUUGAGAGGAUCUGCUCCUAGUACGAGAGGACCAGAGUGGACGAACCUCUGGUGUUCGGGUUGUCACGCCAGUGGCAUUGCCCGGUAGCUACGUUCGGAUGGGAUAACCGCUGAAAGCAUCUAAGCGGGAAGCCCACCUCAAGAUUAGAUUUCCCUAAAGAGCCGUUCAAGACUAGGACGUUGAUAGGCAGGGUGUGGAAGUGCAGCGAUGCAUGUAGCUAACCUGUACUAAUUGCUCGUUUGGCUUGACCAU